rnacentral:rRNA from 1 species
CCUACGGGAGGCAGCAGUGAGGAAUAUUGGUCAAUGGGCGAGAGCCUGAACCAGCCAAGUCGCGUGAAGGAUGAAGGAUCUAUGGUUGGUAAACUUCUUUUAUAGGGGAGUAAAGUGAGGAACGUGAUCCUUUUUGUAUGGACCAUAUGAAUAAGCAUGGGGUAACUCCGUGCCAGCAGCCGCGGUAAUACGGAGGAUGCGGGCGUUAUGCGGAUUUAGUGGGUUUAAAGGGUGCGUAGGGGGUUAAUUAAGUCAGCGGUGAAAGUUUGUGGCUCAACCAUAAAAUUGCCGUUGAAACUGGUUUACUUGAGUAUAUUUGAGGUAGGCGGAAUGCGUUGUGUAGCGGUGAAAUCCAUAGAUAUCACGCAGAACUCCGAUUGCGAAGGCAGCUUACUAAACUAUAACUGACACUGAUGCACGAAAGCGUGGGGAUCAAACAGGAUUAGAUACCCUUGUAGUC